UAUGAGUUCCGCAGCAUUGUUCCUGUAUCGUGAUGUUAAUUGAAUUUUAUUGUAAUUUCUUAUCAAACCAAUGAGUACCGUUCGUGAUCACAAAACGUUGAUUUUCAAUUCAAUCGAGACGUGUAAAUCAUAUAUUUGAGCUAUAAGUACUUACCUAGUAUAAAAUGACGUCGUCGACAAUUUUUUAUUUGAUUAAUUUUAUUCUGGGCUUGCUAGUCCUGGAAAGUGUUGGUCGUGAUUAUCAUAUGCAGUCACCGGUACCGGAUAUUCAAUCAUCGAGUCGACAACCUCUUUCGAAACUUCUUAGAUCAUACUCGACGAGAGGGGGGAACAAAAACAUGCAAUUAACUGCAUUGAUCUAUUUCUUUUCCAACAAAGGUUCUGUUAUGGUGCGCUGCAUGGACGACGGUGUGUGUAUCGACAGUCAGUCUUGUCCUUGGAAUAGACUAUUGUUGGAAGAUGUUACCUGCAUGCAAGAUCAUAACAGCCACGUCUGUUGUCGUGUACAGAAAGUAAAGUCGUCAUUAGAUAGCUUUUUUGAUAACUUGUGACAUAUCCGUUUUACGUUAAAUUAGGUACUUGGUACAGUAGUUAGUUAGUUUA